CAGCUAAUGAGGAGAGAACAGUCAACCCAGCUACUGUUAAUUUUAACGUAGCAGUGUCGAGCAUCAGUGACCGCCUGGAUCCAUACCGCUGAACUGCCUUCCACAUCUCAGAGGUUUCAGCUAUUGAAUUAUUAUGGAUGAAAAUUAAUAUUGAAGUCAAAUAAAAUGGUAUGAAGCCCAAACCCUUUCGUGGCAGAACAAGAACUUGAGUUGGCUCACUAUAGCAGCUGGAGAUGAAUAUAAAGAGAAGCACCCUGCUCAUGGAUGGAUGUCUUUUUAAUGGUGGGGAUGGGAAAAGCAAAGCAGAGCAGAGCUGGAGAACGGGAGCUGAUGUUGGAAGGAGAACAGACCCAUUACCCCUAUGAAUUCCUGAUAGCAGCUAACUCGCCAGGAAGUUUCUCUGUCUGCCUCAUGUGAUGGCCUUUAGCUUGCUAGGUUAUUAGCUGAUGAUUUAUAUUAUGGCAUUACACCAGGUUUUCCUCCAUUUCUCUUCUCUGUAAUCCCAUCUAUCUUUUUGUCUCGUGACCGUCAUCUCACACUACUCAGUGUCACUAGCUGAGCAUUAUUCUAGCAAGGUCACAAGUCAGAGUUUCUUGGUGUUUCAUUAAAGUCCUCUGUCACCUGGGAAGCGAAGGCAUGUCAAAAGGGGAGAAGAGUUUUGUAGCUAGACAGAAAUAGAUGAAAAAGCGUUGUUCGUGUGGAGAGCAGGUGUUGUUUGGAAGAAGGAACCUGGUGCGUGUUGUGUAUGUGCAUAUGUGUUUAGGUGUGUGUGAUCAACGGAGACCCUUGGGAGACAACAUGCAUGCAAAAGGCCAGGACACAGGCGAGAGGAAAUAACUUUUGUGAGCAGUUAUGUCCUGAACUGGCCUGGUUUUUAUAACCAAAGGCUUGCUGCCGUUGUCCUUUGGAACAAAACAAACUACUAAACCUACAAGGGCGGAAUAUGUUUAUGUUUACUUGUGACAUCUGUUUUAGGGAAUUAUUAAUAAAAAGCACUUGAAACAUUUACUUACCUGCCAUUCUGCUUAGUAACAAAG